rnacentral:SRP_RNA from 1 species
GCCAGGCAUGGUAGCGAAUGUCUGUAGUCCCAGCUACUCAGGAGGCAGAGGCAGGAGGAUUGCAUGAGCCCAGGAGUUCAUGGCUGUAGUGAGCUAUGAUCCAUGCCAUUGCACUCCAGCCUGGGUGACAGAGCAAGACCCUGUCUCUU